ACAUUAGUACCAAAUAAACUGAAAUUUCCUAUAAAUUGAUGAGUUCCCAUUCAAAAGUAUUCCUCAUUUUAGCAUAGAAAGAGAAGCAGGAACAUUACAGGCACAUCAAGCAUUUUAGCAUAGAAAGAAGCAAAAACAUUAAAGGCACAUUGAGAGGCUCCUUCGCUGGAGAGAUGCUACCAACAACCAAAUUCCAAUGACUAGAUCCUGAAUCUUGAAGGUUUGAUCCGUUGGUAUCAUCUGCCAGCGGAAGGAACCUCAAAUGUGCAGUGAAGAUACAUGGAAUGCGAAAAGAGUAAUUUUCAACCUAAUCAAAGUAUGGGUGAUCAGCAGUAAAACUUUUAAGAAAGGAAGUAGAUCGCAUACAUUUACGGCCAGAAGAUGGAUGCAGUGGAGGAACAACAUGAAGGUAGAUGUGUAAGAAGCCAGAGUUCUGAGAUCCCAGACCUGCUUCUACUCCUCAACACCGUAAUCUUCACCAAAGUACUUGUCAACUAAUCCAUUUGCCAAAACUCUGAGCUCCCCGUUCUCAUGGAACUGAAAUCUCUCCAUAGCAUCGAUACCAUCUUCCUUUUCGACAAGUCUUGGUCCCUCUCCAUCUGGCAUCCCCCUCAUGACCUGCACAAAUUAUGCAAAUAUUUGCAUGAAGCUUUAAAAAAAUGUCCAAUACAAACGAUCGAAAGGAGUCAGGUGGUGCUUGAAAUCCGUUCAAUCCUUUUUGAAUUAACACACACUCGAUAUGGAUCCAAAUUUUAUCGUUGUAAUAUUAACAUAUCAAUAUUUCCCCUGUAUAUGAUGCUACAAUGUAAACACAGCUUCAAUCAAAUCAAAAGCUACAGACAUCAUAUAGCGGAAGUACCAAAUUCUUUUUCAAGAUCUAACUUGAUAUUCUUAGUAAUAUAUAUCGAUCAAGUAUAAUUAGUUAA